CCUUCGAUAGCUCAGUUGGUAGAGCGGUGGACAGUAGAAGUUGUGAUGGUUAUCCAUAGGUCGCUGGUUCGAAUCCGGCUCGAAGGA
rfam:Ciona savignyi cont_27790, whole genome shotgun sequence.